CAACAUCGGUCCAAUCCUUAAAGUCAUCCUCAGUUCGGACUGGGGUCUGCAACCCGACCCCACGAAGCUGGAUUCGCUAGUAAUCGCGCAUCAGCCAUGGCGCGGUGAAUACGUUCCCGGGCCUUGUACACACCGCCCGUCAAGCCAUGAAAGCCGGGGGGCGCCUGAAGUCCGUGACCGCGAGGGUCGGCCUAGGGUGAAACCGGUGAUUGGGGCUAAGUCGUAACAAGGUAUC
rnacentral:rRNA from 1 species